UUGUCACCAAAAUCUUUAGCAUAUGCAAAUGAAAUUCAAUUUCGGAAUGCAGUUGGCCAUCGCAUGAAGCCGUAGUGUUAAAAAACUUGAUAGAUGGAUUUAAAUUGUCUAUAUCAUAUAAGCAAAUUAAAGUAAAACACAAACACAAGCUGAGAAGGUUUUGUAACCAUCUAUUUUAUUGUUAUUGAAAUUGAUCAACAACAAUACAAUAUAAAAGUGGCUCCAAUGACUUAGGCACCAGCGGAUAUGCUAGGCAUCGAGUGUUUAAUGCAGACAUUUCAUCAUAUUCUAGAACGUUAAAUCUUUGCUUAUGCUGCCUUUUAACAUUUGUGACAAGGAGAUGGAUGAUGAUCUGGAGACAAGCUUGGAAGGCUCACAAGAUGAUUACGAAGGAAACAAGGAUGCGGCACAUGCAUUGUUGCGAGUCAAACAAAAAUUAGAUGGAUAUGAAGGAGGUGAAAUGCGAAGCUUACAUGGGUAGGUUCAAAAACUGAUACAAGAUGCGAUUGAUCCUGAGCGUCUAUGCCAUAUGUUUCCUGGAUGGGGAGCUUGGAUGUAAUUGAUUUGCUUCAAGCUUAUAGUUUCAUGAGCAACAAUCAUUUGCAUGGUCGGCUUUUUGCUCGUUUUUUUAUUUUUUAUUUAAAUUUACAUAAUAAUCUUAUAGCUCAAAACUGUUGUGCAUGUAUAUAAAUUGUAUAUAUAACAAUGUAUAUCUUGAUCAUGGGUUUGAUUCUCAAUAAGCUCGCAAAAGUAGUACAGUGGUUUACCUAGUAAA